ensembl:lncRNA
CAAACGCAACAGAAGGGUUAAACAAUCACCCCUGCUACAGGAAAUUCAAGAAGUUGUCAUGGAGAAAGCACAGUCCUUCAGAAAUAAACAAACGAGAUGCUCAGGCUUUUGUGCUUAUUUAAUUUCCUAAUUAGUUAACUAGCUUGCUAAGACACUUAAUCCCCCCACCCAGGCGCUGGCAGACUUCGGCUGGGCUCAGCCCACUCUGAUCCAGGAGAAAGCUAUCCCUCUGGCUCUGGAAGCCAAGGACCUUCUGGUCUGUGCCAAGACCGGGUUAGGAAAAACGAUGCCUACGCUGUACCUGUCAUCCAGCGCAUCCUGACAUCCAAACAGGAGAUGGGGCAGCAGGUACAGGCCAUGAUCCGCCAGCUGACUGCCUAUUGUGCCAGGGAAGUCCUCUACUCUACACUAAUGCAGGGAUGAAGUCAUUAGUGCAUACCAUAGCAAACAGUUGCAAAACGCUUCAAACAGAAAACAUUUUGCAAUGAAAUGACAAAUUCUGUAUGGUCCCUCCCCGUUUUUGUUACAUUUGCUUCAUAGUUAAUACACCCCAGGUGACGGUACAUUGACCCCUCACCUCUGACCUCACCCCUGACCCUCACAGAGCUAAGGAGUAAGGAGUCUCCAGAAGAAUCGACUUCCAGAAUGUCUCCAACUUCAUCAACUUUGACUUCCCCAUCACCGUUGAGCCCUACAUCCACUGCGUCGAACAAUAACACUGAGCGGGUUUUGAAGCCGUAUGGGUUUAAGAUGGAGAUCGAGGGCUUCAGAUACUGCUAAUCGGUCCCUCCGACGCUGAGGGGAGGGCCAACCCAAUGUCAGGCAGGAGGAGAGAAGCCCAAACCUGACGGGGUCGUCAAGACAACCAUCAAGAAGGACUUCUGAGGCAAGAACCACUUGAAGAGUUUUUGCUACACCGGAGUGAGGAGCCGAGGGGGCAAGGCUAGCAAAUCCUAGGAUUCCAUGUCAAAGUGAAUCCAAAUAAAAUUCACCUAUGACAUCACCAGUUUCCAGAUCAGUGCAGAUGAAGGGGGAAACAAACUGAGGAAGCCACUGUAGACUGAGAUGCAGCCGAAGUGUCCACUAUCAGGCCCCAAACGGAAGAAAACGGACUGAAACAGGAGGGGACAAUCUGAACUUAUCCAAUAAGAAACACUUGUUUUUGUAUUCUGUUGGAAAACAUUUUGCUACAUUUUGAAACAGUGCACACUAAUGAAUACAACCCAGAUGAGGAACCUAUCAGCAGCACCAUUACUCUUAAAGUGAGCCAACAUCGGAGUUUGUCUGGUUAGAAAACCUGUCAAAUUAAUAAUGUGCAUUCCCUCCUAAACACGACACAGUAAUGUUAUGACUGCAUUACUCUGCACCUCCACCGAUGCGAAUGAACUUCCUUCUCUUUACUAGUGUUCAAUGAAAUCCGAAUUGAAGAAUUAAAAUUGUUUUUCAAUAAUUAAUUUUCUAUUAUUGAAUUGUCAAUAAUAGAAAUGGAAUUGACCCCAAUUCUGGUAUUUCCUAUACACAUGCUAUGUAUGUGUGGUCAUUUCAGAUGGCUACACGUGGGUAUUGCAUUUAUUGUUUCUUUGUAAUUAGAAUUCAGAAAACGUUUAUUACAUGUUUUGUAUUUUUGCUCUUUAAGCCGUUUACCAUAAAUCAUGUCAUGUCAGCAGAGGGAACACCCCC